CGUAGGGUCCGAGCGUUGUCCGGAAUUAUUGGGCGUAAAGGGCUCGUAGGCGGUUUGUCACGUCGGAAGUGAAAACUCAGGGCUCAACCCUGAGCGUGCUUACGAUACGGGCUAACUAGAGGUAUUCAGGGGAGAACGGAAUUCCUGGUGUAGCGGUGGAAUGCGCAGAUAUCAGGAGGAACACCGGUGGCGAAGGCGGUUCUCUGGGGAAUUACCUGACGCUGAGGAGCGAAAGCAUGGGGAGCGAACAGGAUU
rnacentral:rRNA from 1 species